CAUUAUUAGACCUCCAUUUAUUUUAUUGUAUUAUAGGACGUUUUAUGUAACCAAUGCUUUCACUCUCUGUACCACAAUGUUUCAUUUAUGGAUACUAUUCCAACACAGUUCACUUUUUGAUAUUGAUAUGACUUUAUUUCAGGUUGGACAAUUUACAGUUCUGUGUCUAAAAGAAAAGUCGAGCGCAUGUUUCCAAGAACACAGAGGGCGAGGACGUCUCUGUAUUUAACAGCCUGACUCCUGUCACAUGGAACAAAGAAACACUGAACCUGUUCAAAAACAGGUCGGGUGUGGUGUUGGGGCAUCCUCUGGAGAUGGAGGGUCAGUUACUUCAGGCAAAGGGUCUCUGAAAACGUAUUUCAACAAGCUGAACACCAUCUUGAAACAGAAGGUGGAUCCAAUAUCAAAUGCACUCGAAAAUAGGCUAAAUUAAUCAGAGGAAAAGUUCUAGAUCACAACAAAUCGGAUGAAUUUCGCUGAAACUUGGAACUUCCAAGCGCCGUUUCUUGUGUCGUCGGAUGCGUUGGCGCAGCACCUGUUGUGGUUGAGUUGACUGAAAACAUGCAUGUAAUUGUUUGCGCUCCAGGAACACAGCGCAUGUGAGAUCUUGGGAGCGGAGCUUCGCUACAAACUGGUGCAGUUUUAACAAUUCCUCGACACCAUGGUCAAGCUGUGACGAAGUCGACCUCCGAGUCAAGCGGUGAGGAAGGAGCGGUCUGUUGGACAACCACAUAACCAUCAUUGGAGACAUGUGACAUGUCCCUGAGGCUGGCAAAUAGAUUGAUGGAUGAUAUUUUUACUGACUGAUUUAUAUGUGAAGGCUAUGUAUUUAUUUUAUUUAUAACUCAACUAAAUGACAAAAUACAUGCAUCUAUUAUCAUAUUGUUUUUCUCAUUCAUUCAUGUAUUCAGUCAUCCAUUAAUUCAUCCAUUCAGUCUUUCAUGCAUUCAUUUGUUUAUAGGGAAUCUACAGUUCAAAACAAC
rnacentral:lncRNA from 1 species